UGGGGAAUCUUGCACAAUGGGGGAAACCCUGAUGCAGCGACGCCGCGUGAGCGAUGAAGCCCUUCGGGGUGUAAAGCUCUUUCGGCAGGGAAGAUUAUGACGGUACCUGCAGAAGCAGCUGCGGCUAACUACGUGCCAGCAGCCGCGGUAAUACGUAGGCAGCGAGCGUUGUUCGGAGUUACUGGGCGUAAAGGGUGUGUAGGCGGUUGUUUAAGUUUGGUGUGAAAUCUCCCGGCUCAACUGGGAGGGUGCGCCGAAUACUGAAUGACUAGAGUGCGGGAGAGGAGAGUGGAAUUCCUGGUGUAGCGGUGAAAUGCGUAGAUAUCAGGAGGAACACCGGCGGUGUAGACGGCUCUCUGGACCGUAACUGACGCUGAGACACGAAAGCGUGGGUAGCAAACAGGAUUAGAUACCCUGGUAGUCCACGCCCUAAACGAUGCAUAUUUGGUGUGGGUCAUUCAGUUGAUCCGUGCCGGAGCUAACGCGUUAAAUAUGCCGCCUGGGGAGUACAGUCGCAAGGCUGA
rnacentral:rRNA from 1 species